CAAGCCGUGAACCACAUUCAUUGGUGAUUUGGUUUGCAUGAUAGCAAAGACGUCCCUAGAGACUAAGGUUUAGGGAUGGAAAAGGUAGACAGAUAUGACGGUAAAUAAAAAGCCAAGCCAAAUUCAGUGCAAAAUAGUUGUCACAGCUACUUCAGCCCGAUUUAUAUACAGAUGGGAAGGUUUGGUGGAUCUACAGGAGGCUGCUUCGCAUUUUGGGGACAUCUAUCACGAAUAACUGAACAGUCAGGAUGUUAUCUCACACGAGGCUUUUUUGCUGGGUUCUCGGCUUGUUGCUUUUUCACUUCGUGGUUGCAGUGAAUGYAUUCAUCGAUUCAACAGCAGCCGUCUUUGCGUCAACUGCUGGUGGAGGAGGCUCGUUCAUUAUUUUCGUCUGCAUCAUUUACUACUGCUGUUGUGGAACUGACAAUACGGUUAAUCCUGUAUAAAAAGCGGUUACGUUAGUUCAAUCUAGGAUCACUUGAAGCCCGUGUAUUAAGGGUGCAUUCUGAUCAGUUUUUUAGAAGGGGGACGGGGCCAGAGGAAUAGUUUUAGUAGCAUGCGUGCCCGAUGUGCUAGCCCUCCCGGCUUAGUCGUUUUGAAAUUUUAAAGUGGCCCCCAAUUCCUAACCGAACAAAAACUGAAUUGCAAAAAUGCAAGAAAAAAAUAUUAUACUAGAAAAAUCAGUGACAUCCUUUUUUCAAUUGUAAAUAUUUGAUGCCCGUCUUAAUUCCCCGGCCGCUCCCCCUCCUCUCUAAAAGAUAAGAAGUAUAUCAGUGUGUCUUGCUUUUACGAAAGAAAUAAAGCUGUAAUUGUCAUACAUUUUCCCUGGGGACCAUGACAAUCACCAUUGUGAAUUGAAAGUUAUAGAAAGAAAUGUGAAAAGUUUAAGAUUAAAGAGUAAAAAAAUAACACAUUUGGGAAA